CGGAGCAACGCCGCGUGAGUGAUGAAGGUCUUCGGAUCGUAAAACUCUGUUAUUAGGGAAGAACAAAUGUGUAAGUAACUAUGCACGUCUUGACGGUACCUAAUCAGAAAGCCACGGCUAACUACGUGCCAGCAGCCGCGGUAAUACGUAGGUGGCAAGCGUUAUCCGGAAUUAUUGGGCGUAAAGCGCGCGUAGGCGGUUUCUUAAGUCUGAUGUGAAAGCCCACGGCUCAACCGUGGAGGGUCAUUGGAAACUGGGAAACUUGAGUGCAGAAGAGGAAAGUGGAAUUCCAUGUGUAGCGGUGAAAUGCGCAGAGAUAUGGAGGAACACCAGUGGCGAAGGCGACUUUCUGGUCUGUAACUGACGCUGAUGUGCGAAAGCGUGUGGAUCAACAUGAUUAGAUACCUGUA
rnacentral:rRNA from 1 species